CUACGGGGUGCAGCAGUGAGGAAUAUUGCACAAUGGGGGGAACCCUGAUGCAGCAACGCCGCGUGGAGGAUGACGCAUUUCGGCGUGUAAACUCCUUUUAUAUGUCAAGAAAAUGACGGUAGCAUAUGAAUAAGCACCGGCUAACUCCGUGCCAGCAGCCGCGGUAAUACGGAGGGUGCAAGCGUUACUCGGAAUCACUGGGCGUAAAGGACGCGUAGGCGGGUUGGAAAGUCAGGUGUGAAAUCCUACAGCUUAACUGUAGAACUGCACUUGAAACUUCUAAUCUAGAGUAUGGGAGGGGGAGAUGGAAUUAGUGGUGUAGGGGUAAAAUCCGUAGAUAUCACUAGGAAUACCUAAAGCGAAGGCGAUCUCCUGGAACAUUGCUGACGCUAAGGCGUGAAAGCGUGGGGAACAAACAGGAUUAGAUACCCCAGUAGUC
rnacentral:rRNA from 1 species